rnacentral:misc_RNA from 1 species
AAGAAUGCCUACAGACACCAAGGUCGCGACUGGGGUAUUGUGACUAGAUAUAUUAGGCUAUAUUAGCGGCGAUAAAAAUAUGCGCCCUAA